AAAUUCACUCUUACACUGUACCUUCCAGUCAUCAGAAACUACUGUUCUGGUUUCUAUUAUGAUAUAGUUUGUGUAUUUGUCCCCACCCAAAAUCUCAUGUUGAAAUGUCAUUACCAGUAUUAGAGGUGGGGCCUGGUGGGAGGUGAAUGGAUCAUGAAGAUGGAUUUCUCAUGAAUGGUUUACAACCAUACCGUUGGUGCUCUCCUCGUGGCAGAGUGACUUCUCGUGAGAGCCUGCUGUUUAAAAUGUAUGGCACCUCCCUGUCUUUCUCUGCCUCCUGCUUUUGCCAUGUGACAUGCAAAAUCCUACUUCACCUUCCGCCAUGAUUGUAAACUUCUAGAGGCAUGCCCAGAAGCUGAUGCUGGAGCUAUGCUUUCUAUACAGCCUGCAAAACUGGGAGCCAAUUAAGGCUCUUUUCUUACAAAUUACCCAGUCUCACGUAUUUCAUUAUAGUAAUGCAAGAACAGCCUAAUACGAUUACCACAGAUUAUUUUGCCUGUUCUUAUAUUUUAUGUAAAUGGAAUCAUACAGUAUGAAACCUUUCAUUUCUGUUUUCUUUUAUUCAAUAUAUGUUUUGAAUAUUCAUAUAUAUUGUUGCAUGUAUUUAUAUAUCAUUCAUUUAUGUUGCUAGAAAAACAUUCCAUUGUAUGAAUAUAUUAGAGUUUGUAUCCAUUCUCCUGUUGAUGAACAUUUGCAUUGUUUUCAGUUUUGGAUAUCAUGAAUAAAGUCAUUUUGAAUAUAUUGUGAAACGAUUUUUAUGGAUUUAUGCUGUCAUUAAUCUUGGAUAAAUGCCUAUGUGAAACAGAAAAAUCUCUCAGUUCUGGAUCAUAGCAUUUACUUCUGAGGUAUGGCUGUUUUUGAGUUUCAGUGGAAGACUCUGACGUUUCAAAUACCAAGGCUCUUUACGUUGUUGGGACCCAAUUUGUUCUCCUCUACGGUCACUAAAAAUAUAAUGGCUCUACAAUUAACUACAAGGAAGUAUGUUGCAAGGUAGUCCAAGUGCACACACUGCAAGGCAGAGAUACAAACAUCACAUCCAGCAAGCAAAUAAGAGUGUAUCUGUGCCUGAAACAAGGAUACUAAGGUCAUCCACAACAGUGGUGUCUAAUGGGGGAAGCAGAAGAGUCAGUGUUACUGAGAUAAGAUGUGAGAGAGAUUCAGUCGUUACUGGAUUUGAAGAUGGAAGGAGGAAAUAAGUCAAAAGAAUGGGAACAUUAUCUAGAAGCUGAUACGGCAAGAAAAUUGAUUCUUUUUUAUGGCCUGCAGAAAAUAACACUAUCUUGGUGACACCUUGAUUUUAGCCCAGUGAGACCUGUUUUGCCUUGACUUCCAUGAUUGUCGGAAAGAAGCCAGCUACAUUGUCAUGAAGACACUCAAGCUGACCUAUGAAGAGGUCCAUGUGUUAAGAAACUGCGGCCUGCCACCAACAGCCAUGUGAGUGAGCCAUCAUGGAAAUGGAUUUUACAGCUCAAUUCAAGCUUUCAGAUGGUGGCAACCUGGGCUGACAUCUUGAGCACAGCCUCUUGAAAAAUCUCUGAGCCAAAACCAACCAUUUAAGCAGCUCCUGAAUUUCAGACCCACAGAUAUGCUGACAUAAAUGUUUAUUGUAUUAACCCAUGAUUUUUCUUUUUAAUCACACAGUACUAGCCUAUUUUGGCAAAUCUUUUUCAAGAGACUCUUCAUUUUUUUCUUUUCUUUUUUUUAUUUUUUUGAGACAGAGUCUCGCUCUGUUGCCCAGGCUGGAGUGCCGUGGCUUAAUCUCAGCUCACUGCAACCUCCACCUCCCAGAUUCAAGCAAUUCUCCUGUCUCAGCCUCCUGAGUAGCUGGGAUUACAGGCGUGCACCACCAUACCCAGCUAAUUUUUGUAUUUUGUAUUUUUAGUAGAGACAGGGUUUUACCAUGUUGGUCAGGCUGGUCUCAAACUCCUGGCCUCAUGAUCCACCCACGUCAGCCUCCCAAAGUGCUGGGAUUACAGGUGUGAGCCACUGUGCCCUGCCUUUUUUUCUUUUAAUUGUCAUUUUAUAGCUCUCCACCGCAGCUUCCCCACACCCUUCCCUUCCAUGAUGAUGUUUACAGGCUUUGGGGGGACCACGGAACAAAGCUGGGGCCUGGCAGCCCCACUAGGUUGCCAGCUGGGGAGAACAAGGCACAAUUACAAAUUAUCACAACAAUUAGCACCUGUACUUGGGGGAUCUGCAAAUUGAGGAGGCCCCAGCUCCUCAUGGUACAGGGGUCUAUCUGGCAGUGAACUUACUCUGGAGACAAUGGUAUUCCUUCAGUCUGAGGGAGUUGAUGUUGAUGAACCCGGUGUCAUCAAUCGGC
rnacentral:lncRNA from 1 species